CCCUAGCCCCGAUAGAAAUGAAAAUCCUUAUUGUUUUUCCUUUAAAAACAAUAAGAUUGAAAUGUAUAGCGGGAUUGAGC
rnacentral:sRNA from 1 species